rnacentral:sRNA from 1 species
UUUUUAAAUAAAAAAAAUCUUUGGUAAAAAAUUGUAAUACCAGUUUUCAAGUUUCACGUGAGUUUUCAUCUUCCCUUAUAGUAUUUUGUUAAUACAAUACAUCUUGUAAGUUUAGUUCAAAUAAUAUUAGUUUUAAGAAUCCAAAGAAAAUGAAAUACAAGAUAUAUAAAACGAUUAUUAUCACUUUUUUUAUCUACAAAAUUAUACUAAUCAUUGAUUGGAACAAAAAAUAAUUUUCAUGUUCAUUAGUAUUUUGAAACACGGCAGCAACAACAAUGUUUCAAUAUUACCAAAUCGAGGCAACAAAAUUGAUAAAGAGAUUUAUUUAUCGGGAUUUUCGUUCCAUAAAUGUAACAUCACUGCAAGUACUGACCUUACCUCAGCUAUGGUGUAUACUGGAAUACAGGUUUAAGAAAGGAUACAAAGAGAAGAUGAGAAAGAUAUAAAAUAAUCAUAGAUCCUAAUGAAGCUGCAUGUUUUACCGUUGAAAAACUUCUACAAGGAAACUGUAGAUUAACUCUAGUGGAGUUCUGUACGAAUUAGGACUAUGACUAUUUUAUCUUGAUGUGAUCUUUUUAAUUAACAAAUAAUCUAUGAUUAUUAUAUACAGAAUUCUAAAUAAAAUAUAACAAAAAAA